rnacentral:rRNA from 1 species
UAAUACGUAGGGUGCGAGCGUUUAUCGGAAUUACUGGGCGUAAAGCGUGCGCAGGCGGUUCGUUAAGUUCGUUGUGAAAGCCCCGGGCUCAACCUGGGAACUGCAUUUGAAACUGGCGGGCUUGAGUGUGGCAGAGGGGGGUGGAAUUCCGCGUGUAGCAGUGAAAUGCGUAGAGAUGCGGAGGAACACCGAUGGCGAAGGCAGCCCCCUGGGCCAACACUGACGCUCAGG